UGAUACAGAGUCAGCACAGGUGGGGACUCUACGGGUGUGUGUCAGGUGAUACAGAGUCAGGACAGGUGUGGACUCUACAGGUGUGUGUCAGGUGAUACAGAGUCAGCACAGGUGUGGACUCUACAGGUGUGUGUCAGGUGAUAGGUUUCUACCAUUUUUUUCCCGUUAAAGGUUUGUUUGGGGGGAGUCUUUCCUGAUCAGCUGUGAGGGUCCAAAGUACAGAGGGUUGUCAUAUCCUGUAAAGUCUCUGAGGCAAAUGAUUUGUGACAUUGGGCUUUAUAAAUAAAAUUGAUUGAUUGAUUGAUUGAUUGACUGACUGACUGACUGACUGAUUAAUACAGACUCACCACAGGUGGGGACUCUACAGGUCUCCUUCUGGACUGUGGGGUCUUUGGUGAAGCACCAGGGUCCAUCUGGGUUGUUGUUUGGGUUUCUACAGAAGUUUUCGUGAAGGAUGCUGUUUGGUUCUGAAGCAUUGUACUCCCUACAGACAGACAGACAGACAGACAGAGAGAGAGACAGUUAAUAACCCUGUCUCAAAGCUCCUGUUUGUGGCUCUGAAUCUGAACUGGGUCUAAAUUAUUCUCUUUAUAUUUACGAUCUGACAUUAUGAGAGUUCCGUAGGGGACUUAUUAUGGGAUGUUGGUGUGUCUGUUGGUUACCUCAUUAUGGGAUGUUGGUGUGUCUGUUGGUUACCUCAUUAUGGGAUGUUGGUGUGUCUGUUGGUUACCUUAUUAUGGGAUGUGGGAAGCUGCUCGUCCAGUACUGACAUUGUUUUCCUGACCGUGUGAUGUUGAUGUUUCCUUCAUAUUUAACUCCUGUACCA